GAACAUACAGUGAGUAGGAAGAGUACAAAAUAAAGCACCUUUAGAGAGAGAAAUCAGCAGCUGAAAGAUUUCUUAGGAAAGCUUAUUUGGAAGGUCGCCUAUGAGUAGUUUUUUUGAACAGACUUUGGUCUAAGUAGAAGAAACCGGUUAAUGAACCGUUAUGAAAUGAAGUGUAUAGACGUCUUUACGGGAGAAGUCUAUAAAAAAAGGUGGUACCGCGAAAUCAACUCCUUUCGUCCUUUUA
rnacentral:ncRNA from 1 species